rnacentral:lncRNA from 1 species
UCUGACAGUGUUACUAAUUAACCUCCAUGUAAGUAAUGAGCAGGGAUAUGGCCAGAAUCAGAAGUUUUCAGUGAUGAAGGUCUGGGGCCAAUCCCCUCUCGCUGGAAGGGAGUUUGUGAAUCAGGAGAGCUCUUCGAUGGUGCAAAAGCCUGCAACAGAAAAUUGAUAGGGGCUCGUUAUUUCAUCCGUGGACUCCAAGCCGAAUAUGGACAGCCAUACAACACUAGUGCAAACAACGAUUACCUGUCCCCAAGAGAUCCAAGCGGACAUGGAACACACACAUCUUCAAUUGCAGGUGGCUCCUUUGUGGCCAAUGUUAGCU